GCAUAGGCAGACUUGGCCCUCCAGAUGUUUUGGGACUACAGCUCCCAUCAUCCCUGACCACUGGUCCUGUUAGCUAGGGAUGGCGGGAGUUGUAGUCCCAAAACAUCUGGAGGGCUGAGUUUUCCUGUGC
rnacentral:miRNA from 1 species